GCUUUCCUUGUCUUGGGGUGGUUCGGGACACUCAAUGAACGUCUAGUGAGAGUUUCCCUGCUGACACCAUAUCAACACUGUCGCAUCACCUGAGCCGCGCGCUCAGGCACUGGUGCAAUUUUUGGAAAC